GACGAACGCUGGCGGCGUGCCUAACACAUGCAAGUGGGACGCAAGGGAACACACUGUGCUUGCACACCGUGUUUUCUUGAGUCGCGAACGGGUGAGUAACGCGUAGGUAACCUGCCUAUUAGCGGGGGAUAACUAUUGGAAACGAUAGCUAAUACCGCAUAAUAUUAAUUAUUGCAUGAUAAUUGAUUGAAAGAUGCAAGCGCAUCACUAGUAGAUGGACCUGCGUUGUAUUAGCUAGUUGGUAAGGUAAGAGCUUACCAAGGCGACGAUACAUAGCCGACCUGAGAGGGUGAUCGGCCACACUGGGACUGAGACACGGCCCAGACUCCUACGGGAGGCAGCAGUAGGGAAUCUUCGGCAAUGGACGAAAGUCUGACCGAGCAACGCCGCGUGAGUGAAGAAGGUUUUCGGAUCGUAAAGCUCUGUUGUAAGUCAAGAACGUGUGUGAGAGUGGAAAGUUCACACA
rnacentral:rRNA from 1 species